GUCAGGCUAUCUGUUGCUCCAUUGGGAGAAAUGUGAAUAUUUUUGACAGCACUAGGAACUAAAACAGAAAAUAAAUUUAAAAGUCAUCACUUAGAGAAUGAACUGUUGAAAUUUUCAAACAAAGUUUUGAAUGCUUCUGAUGUUUUGGCACCCACUGAGAGAACUCACAUGAAAAAGAAAGUAACAAUUUGCCACUUUUCUCUGAUUUUUCUGUGUGAACUAAAGUUGAUGGGGGAAAGCUUAGGGGGAAGUCAAAGCCGGUUGGACAACAUCAUUGUCACUAUCAACAUGACUUUGUCCCUUCUUGCUGUCUCCCUUUUAUCCCUCCAAAUGCUCAAUCGAAAUACCUGAACUACCCGAAAGUUAAAUGCACCACUGCAUCUAUUCAGGUUCAAGAACAGUAUUUCACAUUACCUGUGAAGCCCUCAAUGAAGGCUGACUGCUGUACAUCCCCGCUAAUCGUCAAGACAAGAAUUUUGUAUUGGCGGCCUGGUGUUAGGGAAGUAAAUCGAUACUCGGUUGCGGUAUUUACAAGGUGAAAAGGAGGAAAUACUUUCAUGUCAUUGAAGAGCAGCUGGAUCUCAUAUUGGUCGACAUCCCCAUUAGCUCCUGACCAAGUCACAUGCAAGUCCUCAGUGCUCCUGUUGCGCAAUGUUAGAUCCUUAACAGGCUCUGGAACUAGGGAGAAAAAUGAGAAGACAUUUCAGGAAAGGAACUGAUCAGAGUUUACCUACAUAAUAAUUUAUGAAUCACAUUCAAGGAACUGGCAACAUCUCCCUUCCCCAAAUAAACCACUAGCACUACUUCAUGCAUAAUUAAACAAGAAAAAUUGGAAGCAACUAUUAACAUUGUGGUUUUUUCCUGACAUAAAUGUUACAUGAUCAGCAUUGGUAGAACAUAAUUAUAAAAUGAGUUAUGAUCUCAAUCAUAAGAUAAAACAAGAAGUCUAGAAUCUAAAUGCCAUGAUGCAGGAAGAUAGGGAAGAAAAAUGGGACAUUUAGCCUUCUUGCUCCCUCACUAUGUUUGCUUUUAUCUACCAAUAAAUAUUCUGUAAUUAUAGGCCAUGGCUUGGCUGAAUGAUGUUAGCACCAAGUGAGACUUACUGGGAAUGUAAUGUACUAAUGAAUAAGCAGAAAAAAUUCAAGGUUCAGAUAAAUUACUAGAGACUUUCAAGUCCAACCAACUGUCAGAUUUUGCAAUCGUUCCACUUACUUGUUCUCCCAUUCCCUUGUUCAUUGGCUUCAUAUUGUCCACUUUUUGUAGUAACAGUGACACUGUACAACCGUCCAGGGACUAGCUGAACAAAUACACAUUCGUUUUCUGACUUGGGAAUGCUUUUAGUUUGAAUGAAGUUGUUUUUGUUUUUAAUGGUGACUUCAUAGUGAUCAAAGUCUCCAGUGGCAUGCACCCAGGAUACCCUUAAAUAGUCACUCCUGGCUGAGUUGCUAACACUGACUCCCUGGACUUUGUCAGGCACUGAAAAGGAAACAGAGAGUAACUAAAUAUUUAUGAAUUCUGAGUGAGUAAUUGAUCACAGAUGACAAGCUGGGACAAUAAAAAGAGAGAGUAGAUUAUUAUUGUGUGCAUUUAAAAGAAAAAUCUUAGACCUUAGGUUACAAAUUUCUGGAGGGGAAAGAUUGUUACACUAUGUGGAGUGAUUAAACGGAUCUUUUAACAGAAGCUGAUGAACUCAUUCUAAGCCUGCUGUUUGCCUGCACAAAGUGUCAUGUAUAAGAUGGAACAUUAAACAUGAUGGCUGAU
rnacentral:lncRNA from 1 species